AACGAACGCUGGCGGCAGGCUUAACACAUGCAAGUCGAACGCCCCGCAAGGGGAGUGGCCGACGGGUGCGUACCGCGUGGGAACAUACCCUUUCCUGCGGAAUAGCUCCGGGAAACUGGAAUUAAUACCGCAUACGCCCUACGGGGGAAAGAUUUAUCGGGGAAGGAUUGGCCCGCGUUGGAUUAGCUAGUUGGUGGGGUAAAGGCCUACCAAGGCGACGAUCCAUAGCUGGUCUGAGAGGAUGAUCAGCCACAUUGGGACUGAGACACGGCCCAAACUCCUACGGGAGGCAGCAGUGGGGAAUAUUGGACAAUGGGCGCAAGCCUGAUCCAGCCAUGCCGCGUGAGUGAUGAAGGCCUUAGGGUUGUAAAGCUCUUUCACCGAUGAAGAUAAUGACGGUAGUCGGAGAAGAAGCCCCGGCUAACUUCGUG
rnacentral:rRNA from 1 species